rnacentral:rRNA from 1 species
CCCUUAGAUGUUCUGGGCCGCACGCGCGCUACACUGACGACUUCAACGAGUUUUUUUCAUUUGAAAAAGUCCUUGGCCGGAAGGUCUGGGUAAUCUUUUAAAAGGUCGUCGUGAUGGGGCUAGAUUCUUGCAAUUAUUAAUCUCCAACGAGGAAUUCCUAGUAAACGCAAGUCAUCAACUUGCAUUGAUUACGUCCCUGCCCUUUGUACACACCGCCCGUCGCACCUACCGAUUGGAUGGUCCGGUGAAGCCUCGGGAUUGUGGUUCUUGCCGCUUUAUUGUGGCGUGACCGCGAGAACUUGUCUAAACCUUAUCAUCUAGAGGAAGGUGAAGUCGUAACA